GUGGUCAUAUGCUUGUCUCAAAGAUUAAGCCAUGCAUGUCUAAGCAUAGCUGGUAACAGUGAAGCCGCGAAUAGCUCAUUACAACAGCCGUUGUUUCUUGGAUCUACUCUCUACUUGGAUAACUGUGGUAAUUCUAGAGCUAAUACAUGCAUCAAGACCCGACGCAAGGACGGUCGCAUUUAUUAGAACAAAACCAUCCGGUCUCCGGACCGUACUUUGGUGACUCUGAAUAACUGAGCAAAUCACAUGGUCUCGCACCGGUGAUGUAUCUUUCAAGUGUCUGCCUUAUCAACUUUCGAUGGUAGUUUAUGUGCCUACCAUGGUUGUAACGGGUAACGGAGAAUCAGGGUUUGACUCCGGAGAGGGAGCCUGAGAAACGGCUACCACUUCUAAGGAAGGCAGCAGGCGCGCAAAUUACCCAUUCUCGGUACGAGGAGGUAGUGACGAAAAAUACCAAGCCGAGGCUCAUUGAGUUUCGGCAUUGGAAUGAGAACAAUCCAAAUCUUUUAACGAGGAUCUAGUGGAGGGCAAGUCUGGUGCCAGCAGCCGCGGUAAUUCCAGCUCCGCAAGUGUAUAUCUAUUUUGCUGAGUUUAAAAAGCUCGUAGUUGGAUCUGCGUGUUCAGCAUCUGGUGCGGUCUCUGGCCGCUACUGGAAUGCGACACAUCGAAUGUCGGUUUGCCGUCGAUGCUCUUCAUCGGGUGUCGGCGGUGGCUGAUGAGUUUACUUUGAACAAAUUAGAGUGCUCAACGCAGGCGUUUCGCUUGUAUAUUUCUGCAUGGAAUAAUAGAAUAGGACCUCGGUUCUAUUUUGUUGGUCUUCGGAAGUGAGGUAAUGAUUAAGAGGGACUGACGGGGGCAUUCGUACUGCGACGUGAGAGGUGAAAUUCUUGGAUCGUCGCAAGACGCACUACUGCGAAGGCAUUUGCCAAGAAUGUUUUCAUUAAUCAAGAACGAAAGUAACGGGUUCGAAGGCGAUCAGAUACCGCCCUAGUCGUUACCGUAAACAAUAUUGACUGGGAGCAUGUCGGAGUUUCCAAGAACCCGAUAUGAACCCAACGGGAAACCUCAAGUUCAAUUACUGGGGGAGUACGAUUGCAAAUUCGAAACUUAAAGGAAUUGACGGAAGGGCACCACCAGGGGUGGAGCCUGCGGCUUAAUUUGACCCAACACGGGGAAACUCACCCGGCCCGGACACCGGAAGGAUUGACAGAUUGAGAGCUCUUUCUUGAUUCGGUGGGUGGUGGUGCAUGGCCGUUCUUAGUUGGUGGAGUGAUUUGUCUGGUUAAUUCCGAUAACGAACGAGACUCUGGCCUAC
rnacentral:rRNA from 1 species